UGUUGUUGCUUUCUGGUCUUGAAUCUGAUGUAAUCACAGCAGUACUAUAUGGUAGAGUUUUAGCUUUGCAGCAAAUGCUAAAGAAUCACCUCAGACUUAGAUGUAAAAACACUUUUAUUGAUAAGCAAAGAUUUCGCAAGAAGAGAGCAAAGUAUGUUAUUAUAAUUCUGUUAAAUAUUCCAAACUCAAUAAAUAUCUAUGUAAACAGUUUGUACUCUAUUUAUGGGCAAGCAAGCAGCACUCGAGGCAAGACGCAAUAUCUUCAUCAAGCGCUAUGACGAGCGGACUCGCUACUAGAUUCUAAAUAACAUCUGUUAGCUUCCAUUGAUGGGUGAAUCAGUAUGAGGGAAGAUGGUACUUUAGCCAUAAAUUAUGGCAUUUCAAACGGUUUUUCGAUUUAAUGUGUUGUUUUAGCUGUAAGUAAAGAGAUAAUGAUUACCGAA
rnacentral:sRNA from 1 species